rnacentral:rRNA from 1 species
UACGUAGGGGGCGAGCGUUGUCCGGAAUUAUUGGGCGUAAAGGGUUCGUAGGCGGUAAUACAUGUCAGAUGUGAAAUCUUGUGGCUUAACCACAUCAAGCAUCUGAAACUGUAUAACUUGAGUGGAGGAGAGGUAAGUGGAAUUCCUAGUGUAGCGGUGAAAUGCGUAGAUAUUAGGAAGAAUACCAGUAGCGAAGGCGACUUACUGGCCUCUAACUGACGCUGAUGAACGAAAGCGUGGGUAGCAAACAGGAUUAGAUACCCGGGUAGUCCCU